rnacentral:rRNA from 1 species
GGGGAAUAUUGCACAAUGGGCGAAAGCCUGAUGCAGCAACGCCGCGUGAGUGAUGAAGGCCUUCGGGUUGUAAAGCUCUGUCUUCUGGGACGAUAAUGACGGUACCAGAGGAGGAAGCCACGGCUAACUACGUGCCAGCAGCCGCGGUAAUACGUAGGUGGCAAGCGUUGUCCGGAUUUACUGGGCGUAAAGGAUGCGUAGGCGGAUACUUAAGUCAGAUGUGAAAAUCCCGGGCUUAACUUGGGAACUGCAUUUGAAACUGGGUAGCUAGAGUGCGGGAGAGGAAAGUGGAAUUCCUAGUGUAGCGGUGAAAUGCGUAGAGAUUAGGAAGAACACCAGUGGCGAAGGCGACUUUCUGGACCGUAACUGACGCUGAGGCAUGAAAGCGUGGGGAGCAAACA